UUGAAUUUCAUUAAAUAAAAUUUGGAGUUAGAAGUAAUAAAUUAGAUUUAUAUCAUGGCAAAUAUCAAGGAAUUACCAGAAUUACAAGUUUUUAAAACAGUAUUAUUCCACUGUGUAGUGAUAAUAGCCUUACCUGUAUUGUCAUUUUUUACUAGCAAGAUUUUUAUUUUUGAUGGUUUAUUGGGGCUUAAUCAUGUGCCAAGUAACGUAUAUUCAGCUGCUGUUGCGAUUCUCGUAUUACACGUGGCUCUAGGAUCUUUUAUAUAUCGUGCAUAUUUUGAUGAUCAAUCAAAGACACAAACAAAACGAGAUUAAUCAUUUUUUCUUGUUUGAAAUAUUGAUCAUAUAACAGAUAAUUGAUGAUGCUGACACGAUGAAAGAAACAAAUUUAUGCCAUUUUUACACACGAAAAGCUAUUCACUUAACAUAUGGGUCCAAGUAAUGAUAGUGUGUCGCGUACCGAGCUGAGCCAAGAGAGAAUCCUGGAGGAGUAGGAAGGGGCAGAACCCCUCGCACCUCUUCCACCAUCAUCAGCAUCUGAGUUCCGUCGCGUUUUAUCC